ensembl:lncRNA
CUCAGCCUGGGGCACGCCCUUCCUGAGCGCCGCCUGUUCUCUUGGCCAGCUCCUCACGCUCAGACAGAGCUGGCUGUUGUCUCCUGAGGGUGUUGGUGCUGGGAGCCACCACCAACAUCACCCCUGUGGCGAAGUGCGGGGUUCCGGGCAGCCUGGAGCAUUCCUGGGCUUUUUUCCCUUGUGAGCCUCCCCACAGCAGGCAGAGGACGGCCACAGGAGCCAAGUCUGUGGUAGUGGUGGCCUUGGUGGCCUGUCCUGCCCACUUUUUGUGGCUGUUCUGGGUCCAGCCGUGCAGUUGAUGUCUGCUGGGCAUUACACCAGUCCCUGGGAGUGUCCGUGUCAGGUGGAACCCACUGCCUCGCUGCCAGCACCUGCAGGGUAAAAGGACCCAUCUGGAUGCUCCUCCUCUGCCGGGUGAAGGAGACCUGGCAAGCCCAGUGCUGGGGCUGUGGGGAGCACUCAGAGCAGUGCCCGUGGGGGUUUGUCAGCUCCUGCUCACCUGGACAUGGCUGGGCAGAGAGGAGGGCUGGCCCUGCCCCUGCUCUGGCCGCUGCUGCUGCUGCUGCUGCUGAGCCUCGCCUGCCUCGCCGUGCUGCACCUGGCUCUGGAAACCACCGCCAUGGGUGUGACAGCAACUGUGUCUCCAGCUCUCCUUACCUCCUCAACACCCAUGGAGAGCUCAACACUGCUGCCUACCACUGACUCCACCACCACAGACACCCUCCUUUCCUCCAGCCCUGAAACAGAAGCCUCCACCCCAGAGGAGUCCAGCACAUCCGCAGAGACUGGCAACACCUCACCUCCCACUGUGCUUCCUCCCACCACAACUACAGAAGAUUCAUCAGAAUCUACAGAAGAGUCCUUGGCAACCCUGGCAGAUACAACAGCCAGCCCUGUCAUCAGCACAUCAAACCCCACGAGCUCUCCCUCUUCAAGCUACCCAGGCAGGACCACUCCUGACAUCUUCCCCUCAACUGUGGAGUUGACUCCAGGCACUGAGCCCUCUUCCCCUGCCACCAGCUCAGCCCAGACCUCAGAGGCUACUACCCUCAGCACGCCUGCAGAGCUGCCAACACUGCCGCCAGUCUGCCCCUCUGGCUCAUCCAACACCAGUGCAUCUUACCUCUUUCUGUCGCUGCGGCUAACCACCCCUCUGGACCUGGGGAACACCACGGUGCAGGAGCUGGUGUUGUCCAAGGUGAGGUGUGCAGGAGGAGAUCCCACUCUGUAUCUGCCAGCUGUGGUUGACCCAGGGAGGGGAAUGGCUGCAUCUUACGUUGAAUGCCAUCCAGAGCUCUUUCAGAUGAAGGGGAGACCCUCCUUUGGCUGCCAUAGUCCAGGAUAAGGCCCUUUCUAUGUGGGGACAGUGGGUUGGAAGCCCCUCUGGCACAGUUUGAUGGCUGUUCUUUGCCCCCAGCUCCGUGAGGACCUGCAGACAGCGUUCCCGUGUGCUGGCCUGUCACUGGCAUGGCGAGGGAAGAGGAGGACCUGACCGCUGCCCCUCGCCUGGCCUGCUCCCACCUGGACUGCCCAGCCACCCGCUCCCAGCUCCUCACUCCAUGGUGGUGCAGGCCCCUGGGGAAUCCCACACAGCUCCUCUUGAACCUGGGCUUCCUGUCCUUCACUCUGUUCCCCCAGUCCCCUCCUGCCCCUUCCCACAGCCUGUCUGAAGAGCCCGUGCCCUCCCACCACCCUGCUCCAGACCUGGUUCCUGUGGUGGGACCCCUCCAGCUCUGCUGCAAGGCUGGAAGAAGGGGACCCCACGGGACUGGGCUUUUGCAUCUGGGACUGAUGGCUCAGCCAUCAAAGCCACCCUGGGGACAGAGAAAUGAGAGGAAGGAGACCUGAAGCCCCCAGUACUGCUGUUCCCAAGGCUCACCUGCAAUAUUGCUGACAGACGAGAACACCUGUGGUGGGCAGUAAAUAGAAAUUCCAUGUUUUCUGUGUUGAAACGAUGACUUCUUUUUUCAGUUUUCCAAGUUGCCUUUCCGAAUUUUCAGCUUUGUCAUCUGUUGGAGGUACUGGUGAGGAAAAUUGGGUCCCCAGAGCUUUGUGUGGAGAGCUGGGCUCAGUGCUGUCCCCUCCCACCAGGGGCUGCUGCAGACAUUCCCAAAGAUGGCUCGGCACCCCGGCAGACUGAUGGUCUCUGCUUUGGAGCUCUCUGCCCCAUAACACCCCACAGCUGC